rnacentral:rRNA from 1 species
AACGAACGCUGGCGGCAGGCUUAACACAUGCAAGUCGAACGGGCGUAGCAAUACGUCAGUGGCAGACGGGUGAGUAACGCGUGGGAAUCUACCCAGCUCUACGGAAUAACUCAGGGAAACUUGUGCUAAUACCGUAUACGUCCGAUAGGAGAAAGAUUUAUCGGAGUUGGAUGAGCCCGCGUUGGAUUAGCUAGUUGGUGGGUAAUGGCCGUACCAAGGCGACGAUCCAUAGCUGGUCUGAGAGGAUGAUCAGCCACACUGGGGCUGAGACACGGCCCAGACUCCUACGGGAGGCAGCAGUGGGGAAUAUUGGACAAUGGGCGAAAGCCUGAUCCAGCCAUGCCGCGUGAGUGAUGAAGGCCCUAGGGUUGUAAAGCUCUUUCA